rnacentral:rRNA from 1 species
UGGGGAAUUUUGGACAAUGGGCGAAAGCCUGAUCCAGCAAUGCCGCGUGUGUGAAGAAGGCCUUCGGGUUGUAAAGCACUUUUGUCCGGAAAGAAAUCCUUGGCUCUAAUACAGUCGGGGGAUGACGGUACCGGAAGAAUAAGCACCGGCUAACUACGUGCCAGCAGCCGCGGUAAUACGUAGGGUGCAAGCGUUAAUCGGAAUUACUGGGCGUAAAGCGUGCGCAGGCGGUUUGCUAAGACCGAUGUGAGAUCCCCGGGCUCAACCUGGGAACUGCAUUGGUGACUGGCAGGCUAGAGUAUGGCAGAGGGGGGUAGAAUUCCACGUGUAGCAGUGAAAUGCGUAGAGAUGUGGAGGAAUACCGAUGGCGAAGGCAGCCCCCUGGGGCCAAUACUGACGCUCAUGCACGAAAGCGUGGGGAGCAAACAGGAUUAGAUACCCUGGUAGUCCACGCCCUAAACGAUGUCAACUAGUUGUUGGGGAUUCAUUUUCCUUAGUAACGUAGCUAACGCGUGAAGUUGACCGCCUGGGGAGUACGGUCGC